GGCUCCCGCAGCCGCCGCCCCACCGCGCCGGCACCCCGCCGGGGAGGGAAGGGGGGCGGCUCGGGUAUUGCGGCGGGACCCUCGGGAAUGAAGAGCCGUAGACCGCUGCUGGGCGGCGGGCGCGGGAUGGCUGUCGGGGGGCGACCCCGGCCGCGCCCAGGGAGGGGCAGCGCGCCGGCGGGGAGGGUCGCGGCGCUGCCUGUGGCGCCCCGGCUCCCGCCGCCUCACCUCGCUCGAUGUUGGCGAUGGCCCGCCGCAGGUGCUCCUCGGUCACCAGCUCACCGAUGACCACCAGCAGAUACGCUCAAGACUUGCCACAUGGAGCAAACUAGCUUCCGGCUUCUCCCGCUGCAAUACCUAGCUCUGGGAUGUGCCUUUAUUUCGAUCACCAACAAGAGCAGCUAGUCUCUGGAGCAUGGAAGAGGCUUGCCAAGGGAACUUGCCAACUGGUUGCAGAAUAGACUGAUAACGGUUCCUGGACAUGAAGGUAAAAUGAUUACUUGUAUCACGAGCACAGCAGGUUAAAUAUGAUACUCUGAGAAUUGCACACCAGUACUCAAAAGGCAUUAUAUGUGCUUUUAAGCAUUUUCUGAUUUUAAGGAAAAAUUAAGACAUCCAUAACUGGAAAGGUGCCUGUGAGUUUGAGAAGAGGUGAAAAGAAUGUAUUUUAUCAGGGAAGAAAAUGCUUACAUAUACGUAGGGAAUACAGUUAUGUCUGAAAUAGCUUGCUCAGGUAGUCUUCUGUUUUAUACAGCACUGUAUAAUAGUGUACAGCUAGAAUACGGUAUAUAAAAAAAGGUGAACUGUUACAGUCAAACUGUCUUGUGAUGGAGGAUGUGUCACAUUAAAACUCUAAAGACAAGAGGUUGCCUUCAGAAGAAAAUGGUCUUCUGCCUUGUGCUCUUCAACAGAUGCAGGCCUCUUCCCUUGUCUAUUGAAAAGCAUAUGCCACCUCAUCUGAGAUGGAAGGUAGACAAGAAAAGAUGCUUUAACCUCUUGAACAUGUCUCUGAGGAAGCUGCAGGGUCCCGACUCUGUGGUCAGGUUCACACUGUGACUUGUCCUCUUGGUAUCUCAGUGAGGUAGAUUUGUUUGUCAUCACCUUUCCCUAUCUGGAUACCCAUUUAUAUUCUGCAAUAUGGAGCGUAUCAUCAGGUCUACUGCGCAGUGAAAUGUGGAGAUGUGCUGCAUAAAGCUGACUUAGUAUCCAGUGACCCUCACUGUUUGAAAGCAAUACCAGCUGACUAGCUACAGCUAAAUCACAUAGAUUUUUUUCAGUAGAAGAAAGAACAAAAUUGUUGGACUGUGGAAUAUGUCUUGCUGUUUCAAAGAGACAGUGAUUGAGACCUUCACCUGUCUGGCUUUUGUACGUUUUGGUUUGGUUUUACUGUUUUAGUGUGUUCAUAUUGGAGUCCCCAAGUUGAAUAUGGUCAAACAUUGCUGUAUUUUUUAGAUGUAGUAAUUUUUAAAGCAAAGAGGCAGUUUUAAAUAAAGUGCUUGAAGUCUAAAACAUGA